UCGGCUCGAAUGUCGCGCUCAAUCGCCUGAUCGCACUCGCCUUCGCCGUCAUCAUCGGCGGCGCGCUCUACCUCGCGCUGAUGCGCACGCGCUACGGCACCGCGAUCCGCGCCGUUUCGGUCGACCCGGUCGCCGCGCAACUCGUCGCGAUCGACGUACGCAAGACCUCGGCCUUUGCGUUCGCGCUCGGCGGGGCGCUUGCGGCCGCCGGCGGCGUGCUGAUCGCGAUGUUCACCACCUUUACCGCCAGCAUGGGCGUGGUCUUCACCAUGAAGGCGCUGAUCGUCAUCAUCAUGGGCGGCGUCGGCAAUAUCGCGGGCGCGCUGCUGGCAGGGCUGAUGCUCGGCCUGGCCGAGACCGCGGUCGCCCGCCUGGUCGAUCCCGGGCUGACCAUCGCGGUCACCUAUGCGCUGUUCCUGAUCGUGCUGCUGUGGCGGCCGACCGGGCUGUUCGGGAGAGCCGCCCGGUGAAGCCCGCGAUUGCGCUUCCGCUCGGUGCCGCGAUCAUCGCCCUUCUGGCGUUCGUUCCCUCUGUGGCGAGCGGAUACCUGCUCGCGCUCGGCAUCACCCUGUUGUACUUCACCGUGCUGGCGACCGCCUGGGCGAUGUUCUCCGGGCCGACGCACUACAUUUCGCUCGCGACCGUCGCGUUCUUCGGCAUCGGCCAGUACACGGUCGCGGUCGCCGGUGAGUGGAUGCCCUGGCCGGCCGUGCUGGCCGUCGCCGCGCUGAUCGGCAUCGCGAUCGCGCUCGUCGUCGGCCUGUCCACAUUGCGGCUCUCCGGCAUUUAUUUCGUCAUCUUCACGUUCGGCCUGUCGGAGCUGUUGCGCCAGAUCGUGUCCUGGUACGAGAUCAACAUCAAUCGUUCGGUCGGCCGCUAUAUCUUCCUCAGCAUCACCACCGAGCAGAUCUACUGGCAGCUGCUUGCCCUCGUCGCGCUGGUCCUGCUCGCCGGCUGGCUGAUCGCGCGCUCGCGGCUCGGCCUUGCGCUGCGCGUGAUCGGCAAUGACGAGGUGGUGGCGCGGCAUUCCGGCGUCGACACCACGCAGGUCAAGCUCGCGAUGUUCGCGAUCAGCGCGCUGUUCAUGACGGUGACAGGGCCAUCAUGGCCCCCCGCUGGACCUAUAUCGAUCCCGCGAUCGCGUUCUCGCCGAUGCUCAGUUUCGAGGUGGUGAUCAUGGCGCUGCUCGGCGGCGCCGCCUCGCUGUUCGGACCGGUGCUCGGCGCCGUGACGUUGGCGCUGCUGUUCGAGGUGCUGACCG
rnacentral:misc_RNA from 1 species